GCCGGGCAGAUCAUGGGGACGGGGAAUUCUGAGCAGAACCUCUUCAGAAGUUGAGUCUCAAGGGGCCUUGGGGAACUUGGUCAGCAGAUGGCAAGACUUCAUCUGUCAGUGGGCGGGUCAGCUCAGCGGGACUCCUGUCUUUGGAACUGAGACUCAAGUCUCUACUCUGUACCAAGACAGAGAUGGAGGCCAGGAAACAAGACACACAACCAUUUUCCAUCAUCGAGGGGCAAGGCAGGGCUUGGCAUGAGGCAGAACCAGGCUCCAUCAAUGCCACAUCCUGAGGACGUGAUAGGAUUUCAUUCCCGCCCCACCUUGUGGUUGGAUGGAAUCAUGUGCCCAAUUCUGGUCAAGAUCAAGAAACUGAGAAACAAAGCAAAUCCGUGGGAUGCAGAGGGUACGCUGAUGACUUCUGCUGGGGAGAGAAGCCCAAACACACGUCCUGGGCAGAGCCCAGAGACCUGGAGUGUGGCUGCCAGUGGGCACCCGGCUGAGGGACAAGCAGGUGGGCCUCAGUGGUGGCUGCCAGGUCCCUGGACGCAGGGGGCCACCGGCUUUGCCUCUCCUCUGCCUCGGAAGCACCGGAGGCUUUGGGGAUCUGGUGGUCCUCCGGCCCUGAACGUGGACCUGGUGUGACAAAGGGAAGUUUGCCAUCUCCAUCCUCCUCAAGCUGCCUGUGCACCCCAGUAGCACUCACCCUCUCUGUGCUCCCGUCUGCACCGCAUGUCCUGGGGUCCUUCUUUGUGCUGCACCCAGUGACAGGAACCAGUGUCCCGACUGUGACUUACUUCCCCCCUCAGGGACACACAAGGACUUUCACAUCGAGGCUACUUUUCACCCCUUCUGCCUCCUGCAGGGACGCUGCAUGCAGAGGCAGGAGGACAGAGGGGCUGGUCUCAGGUGUGGCUUCUCUCAUACCUGGCGCAGGUGGCCACUCCCCUUCCCCCCCCACUCCCCCACCCCACCUCAGCUCCCGGGUGUGAAUGAGAAAGGGGAACCAAGAGAUCAUCAUUACAUGGGACAUGCCACAAACCCCAAAAAGACCCAUUUGGUGAAAAGAAGUAAAACAACCACAAGGCUA